UAGAAAAUAAGAAUGACAAAAUCAUAAUCCUUUCCUCUUCAUGCCUAAAAAUGGGGUAAAUGGCAGCUGGUAAAACUGGGAGAGGCUGAGAGAGCAAAUCAUUUUGCUGGAUGAAAACCAGGCACUCCGAGACGAAACAGCCCAGUGUGGAAAGAAGAGCAUUUCCUGGGCUUUUCUGGACCCUGAUGCCUCACAGGUGCCCCCAGAGGUGGAGCUGGCCCCCACAAAAAUGGAGGCUACAACACAUCCCGGGAAAUGUGACACAUAAGUCAUGGCAGUUUGAAUUAAUGUUGUUCAUGCCUCUUUAUUAUCUUGAAACGAAAAACUGUAAUUAAAAACCUCCAAAAUA